GCCCUUGCGUGGGACAUCUGGACAAUCUGCCUGUUAUGUGGAUAGAAGCUUUAUCUUUGAUUCCUGCCCAGGGUCUGUGUCUCCCCCUGCCCACACCACUUCACACUAUCAGCCCUUGGUGCACGUCUGACCACCCGGCAUGAGGUGCUCAUGGGACUUUCCAGAAGGAGGCUUCUCUCAUGGAAUGCCUGGGGCUCAAGAGCACUAGAACUCCAGGAAUGGGGCAGUUCCAAUUUCCCUGGUGGCAAGUACAGUUGGAGCAUGUGAUGGCACAUCACCAGCAAAGGAAUGAACCUGGAGAUGAAAAUGGAGUUCAGUGGAGAGUCAGACUCACGGCUAAGAAAACACAGAGGCCUCGUGGGGAGCUCAGUAGGG
rnacentral:lncRNA from 1 species